rnacentral:rRNA from 1 species
CCUACGGGUGGCAGCAGUGAGGAAUAUUGGUCAAUGGACGGAAGUCUGAACCAGCCAUGCCGCGUGCAGGAUGACGGCUCUAUGAGUUGUAAACUGCUUUUGUACGAGAAUAAUAGUUCUUACGUGUAGGGAUUUGAAUGUAUCGUACGAAAAAGCAUCGGCUAACUCCGUGCCAGCAGCCGCGGUAAUACGGAGGAUGCGAGCGUUAUCCGGAUUUAUUGGGUUUAAAGGGUGCGCAGGCGGAGGUGCAAGUCAGCGGUCAAAUUGCGGGGCUCAACCCCGUACUGCCGUUGAAACUGCAUCCCUUGAGUGCGCGAGAAGUAUGCGGAAUGCGUGGUGUAGCGGUGAAAUGCAUAGAUAUCACGCAGAACUCCGAUUGCGAAGGCAGCAUACCGGCGCGCAACUGACGCUCAUGCACGAAAGCGUGGGUAUCGAACAGGAUUAGAUACCCCUGUAGUC